UACAGGGGGGGCAAGCGUUGUUCGGAAUUACUGGGCGUAAAGGGCUCGUAGGCGGUCUGUUGCGUCGGGAGUGAAAACUCAGGGCUUAACCCUGAGCCUGCUUCCGAUACGGGCAGACUAGAGGUAUGCAGGGGAGAACGGAAUUCCUGGUGUAGCGGUGAAAUGCGCAGAUAUCAGGAGGAACACCGGUGGCGAAGGCGGUUCUCUGGGCAUUACCUGACGCUGAGGAGCGAAAGUGUGGGGAGCGAACAGG
rnacentral:rRNA from 1 species